rnacentral:tRNA from 1 species
GCCUCGUUGGCGCAGUAGGCAGCGCGUCAGUCUCAUAGUCGGAAGGUCGUGAGUUUGAGCCUCACACGGGGCA